ACCCUGUGGUUGCUGGAGGUAGGUACAGUUCUCCAGUGGGUACAGUGGGCCAGAGAAAUCCUGUGAUUUAUGUAUGGGAGCUGUUUCUUCUCAGCAGCUGCCAUAACCCAGUCACUGGUACAUUG
ensembl:snoRNA